rnacentral:rRNA from 1 species
CCUACGGGGGGCUGCAGUGAGGAAUAUUGGUCAAUGGACGAGAGUCUGAACCAGCCAAGUAGCGUGAAGGAUGACUGCCCUAUGGGUUGUAAACUUCUUUUAUAAAGGAAUAAAACGAGGCACGUGUGCCUUUUUGCAUGUACUUUAUGAAUAAGGAUCGGCUAACUCCGUGCCAGCAGCCGCGGUAAUACGGAGGAUCCGAGCGUUAUCCGGAUUGAUUGGGUUUAAAGGGAGCGUAGAUGGGUUGUUAAGUCAGUUGUGAAAGUUUGCGGCUCAACCGUAAAAUUGCAAUUGAUACUGGCAGUCUUGAGUACAGUUGAGGUAGGCGGAAUUCGUGGUGUAGCGGUGAAAUGCUUAGAUAUCACGAAGAACCCCGAUUGCGAAGGCAGCUUACUAAACUGUGACUGACAUUGAUGCUCGAAAGUGUGGGUAUCAAACAGGAUUAGAUACCCUUGUAGUC